rnacentral:other from 1 species
UAUAUAAGGGGUAGCUCUAAGAAUGCAAAUGAACCCUACAAUUAUAUUAAAGAGGGAAGUCUCUGUCAGCGGUGUGUAAGCCGUCCUCUUGAGUCGGAAACCUAAAGCUGUUACCGCUUUCGCUCACCUGGUCUUUCGGGUUCAUUUUGUCUUAGUUUUAGCUAUCCCCUAUCUCU